rnacentral:snoRNA from 1 species
UUCUUCAUACAUAUUACACUUUCGGAAUACCAGCGAUUACUAGUCACGCAUCCAUCUAUGUAUUGCACAAAUGGCCGAAAGGAGAUCUAAAGAAUCCACUUCAAUAAUCUGUCAUUGAACUCAACUGCAUUUCUUUUUUUAAAAAAGUUUUGUUGUUUACUCAAUUACAAUUCGCUUUGUGGAUACAUUC